GAUUUUGUUUGUUGGUCUAUGAUUAUCGUUCGUGCAAAUGGUGGCGCUGUUUGGAAAAUUUGAAAACAUCACGAUUGGCAAUUUAUUUGGAUUUCGAAAAUCCUGGUCUUGGCUGAAAUUUAGAGUAUUGCAGCUGUAGCCUGUACACCAUACAUUCAACAUGAAAAGGACUGUCAGGAUGCUGCAUAAAAUAGUCUUAGCUAGAGCCUAGAAUGUUAAUUUCUUGGGAAUAUGCUGCAAGGAACUGACGGGGAGCAGUUUUUCUUACCAAUCAUAGAAGCAGAAAGAGACAGCCAAAGAAGUACUAAAACACUUGACAUACCCAGAAAUAUCUAGAAGAAAAGAUUGGAACAGAUUGUAGCUUAAUUGUUAAAACUAUUAAAGUGAAUUUAAGCUGCACGUGAACUGUAUUUUUGAAAUAAAAUAUCUGAAGUAUUUAAUAUUGUCUUGAUAUUUUGUUAAAC